GUGCUGAAAGCAUCUAAGCACGAAACUUGCCCCGAGAUGAGUUCUCCCUGACCCUUUAAGGGUCCUGAAGGAACGUUGAAGACGACGACGUUGAUAGGCCGGGUGUGUAAGCGCAGCGAUGCGUUGAGCUAACCGGUACUAAUGAACCGUGAGGCUUAACCUUACAACGCCGAAG
rnacentral:rRNA from 1 species